rnacentral:precursor_RNA from 13 species
AGGCCUGGUCUGCUGCUGGCCUGCACUCUCUCCACUACAAUGCCUUGCCUCUUCUCCAGGAAAGGCAGCAGGGUAUAGUGGACAGAGCACUGGUUCAAGUUCUAGCUCCACCAC